rnacentral:rRNA from 1 species
CACAUCGACGGGGAGGUUUGGCACCUCGAUGUCGGCUCAUCGCAUCCUGGGGCUGUAGUCGGUCCCAAGGGUUGGGCUGUUCGCCCAUUAAAGCGGUACGCGAGCUGGGUUCAGAACGUCGUGAGACAGUUCGGUCCCUAUCCGUCGUGGGCGUAGGAAAUUUGAGAGGAGCUGUCCUUAGUACGAGAGGACCGGGAUGGACAUACCUCUGGUGUACCAGUUGUCGUGCCAACGGCAUAGCUGGGUAGCUAUGUGUGGACGGGAUAAGUGCUGAAAGCAUCUAAGCAUGAAGCCCCCCUCAAGAUGAGAUUUCCCAACUUCGGUUAUAAGAUCCCUCAAAGAUGAUGAGGUUAAUAGGUUCGAGGUGGAAGCAUGGUGACAUGUGGAGCUGACGAAUACUAAUCGAUCGAAGACUUAAUCAAA